rnacentral:lncRNA from 1 species
AUAACUGGAACAUGGAUAUAAUAAAUGAUUAUCCCAAAACCAUGUAAAGCAAUAGCAAACUACCCAAGUGAUUCAGGGGUAAACAAGGUAAUGAGAUAAACAAUCUAGGGUGACCUAUCGGGUCCCAUCAAAAUUAAACCUAUGCAUGAACAUGUGACAUUAAAGAACAUUAUUGGGUAAAAAGUGGUCAAGGGCACAACUUGCCUAGCACUUGAGAUUCCAGGUACCAACUUGCCUUACAGAUGACACGUGUCCUCGCGCUAGUCGUAGCAAUACAAGCAAACAUGGUAUAGAUAAAAUUAACAUCCCACCAAAUAUAAGAACAAACUGAAUAAUAAUGAUCUACGCGUCGCUACGAGAUCGUGGAAACGAGAACUACUAAGAUCGUUGUGAGGUUACGAACUAUGGAAGAUCUACGUGAUUCAAAUAUUAAACUAUAUUAUAAAUUGAUUAGUAUACACCAUAUGAGAGAAUAUUCUAUGAAUAAUUAACUCAACUUUAAUUUAGGUCAUUACUUGAUUAAAGAUCAUCUUUUAGUCAAUUUAUAACCAUAAGAUGAGCAUACUAUAUUAAUAUUAGAAAAGCUAAUCCAAUAAACCUUAAUUAAUCCAAUUAGUUACUUAAUUAUAUAAGUACGUAAUAUCGUAUAAUUAAUGUUGCUACUGCAUAGUAAAUAUUUAUACGAAGCUAACGUGACUUGAACGGAUACAAUCGGAGUUAAAUCGGACAAGUUAUGGUUUUCAGAAGGUUUAAGUGUGGGGGUACAAAAGAAAUUAAGCGCGUAAUUUUAUCAUGGAUUCCAUGACAAAAUAGAGUUACUAGAUGAUAAAGAAUAUUAAUAUGAGACUAAUGCAACUGGAAUGAAUCAGAUCAGAGCUAAACUAUGAGAAUUAUGAAUUAAACAAGUUUGAGUUGCAUUUAUUAUUAAUUUUAAUGCCAAAAUAAACGCGAGGGACUUCUCUGCAAAUUCAGAGGACUGAUCUGUAAUUUCAAAUUUUGUUUCCGAGGUUACUGCUGUGAAAAACAGGACGGCGGGUUAGUUAUUAAAAAGUCUAGGGUCCCAUUUGUAAGUCUGGCUCGGCAAAGGGGUAUCGUCUAUUAUGGACCGCUCGAUUAUAUUUGAAUGGCCAUUGUCUAGAUAUGAAGCGGUAUUCGGCGAUGUCCGCACGAUCAGAAAUCGACGGCUCGCGAGAUCAACGGUCACAGUUUAAUGAAACACAGAUCAAAUCCGGACCAUGCGUUGGACGAUCAACGGUCCAGAAUCAACCAUGGAACGAUCUACUUCUAGUUCGAUGAAGAUCCUACGGUGACUGUGUGUCUUCUACCUCAUGCUGCUAUACCCCUUUCUAUACGUAUGCGAGACCCCAGUAACAGUAGGUACAUUAACCCAACACCACCGGCAUGGAAGAGGAGUCUCACCGUCGAUGGUGGUGAGGCUGGCCGACGAUGGAGCGCGGAUUUCGCGGCGAGCCGCAGACCCAGUGCUCGAUUCCCUCCCCUGCGGUCGCCCAGACCAUCGUUCGGCUGGACGGUGAUGACGGCGCAGCGAGCUCCGGCCCGGUGAGGAGCCGACCACGCAGCCGUCGUGUACUCGGUACGCCCGCCCAAGCUCUAUCGAAGCGCGCCGCCAGCUUUGUGAGCCCGAGACGCGACACCAGCCGCCCUCGGAUGCCUGCUACACGGCGCUCUCCCUCUCUCGGUGCGCUGGGAACGUUAGGCAAGCGCGGUAGCCGCAAGGAACUUUCCCAUGCAACUGCGACCAGGUUUAUAGAGGUGGGCGAGGGGUAAGACGGGCUGGCUGCACGCAG